rnacentral:tRNA from 1 species
GAGGGGUUAGUUUAGAGGAUAAAACAGCGGUCUUCUAAACCGCAAUCGGCGGUUCAAGUCCGCCACUCCUUA